AAGCACAUCAUGUUCCACCGCUAUUGCUUAUUUUUUCUUCUGUUUUUGUUUUAGAUAAAGGAGAGUGCGUCGGCAGAGCCCGCCUCAUCCAGAACUGAUAAAGGAGAGUGCGUCGGCAGAGCCCGCCUCAUCCAGAACUGAUAAAGGAGAGUUCGUCGGCAGAGCCCGCCUCACCCAGAACUGAUAAAGGAGAGUGCGUCGGCAGAGCCCGCCUCAUCCAGAACUGAUAAAGGAGAGUUCGUCGGCAGAGCCCGCCUCACCCAGAACUGAUAAAGGAGAGUUCGUUGGCAGAGCCCGCCUCACCCAGAACUGAUAAAGGAGAGUGCGUCGGCAGAGCCCGCCUCAUCCAGAACUGGUGAAGGAGUUCGGGGCAAGGGUAGAGCCAGAGCGAAUCUGCACUAUGUCUGGGAAUCCCAAUGACCUUCAGCCCUUACAGAUGACUGAUAUAGGCCAACCUUUCAGUCGUUUGUGUAAAGAACUUGCAUUGCCAUCACCAAGGCAAAUCGAAUCCGUCUCUUAUUCAGGAGUUCAACAAAGCAUUCUAGAAGUAGAGAGAACUUGGAAGUGAACACUUAGAAAGAUAAUUGAAAGUGUCUUGAAAGUGUCUCUCCAAUUACUGCUCUGCAGAGAAUCGGUGGCCAUUCAAUGUGAAUUUUCCAAAGUUGAUUGCCAAUUCAGACAUUUUUCAACAGCUUUUAGCCAUCCCAAGAAAUAAUGUGAGCAAUUUCCGUCCAUGGGGGCUAUUCCAAGGUGGAAAGUGUCCAUCUAGCAGGCAUCCAAAAUAACCUUGGGAAUAACUAAUUAUUCAUCUACACCAAAUCCUCGGGGAGAGAAAUGAUUAAAAAAUAGCAUGGUGUCCUUGACGUGGACCCAAAUUCCCAAUGGGACCAUUCCCAUUUGGGAGAUGAAGGGGCAUAUAAAGAAGUUUCGUAUAGACUGUCCCAAUUCCUUAGCUGGUAGGGCUUGGGUUUGGAGAAGACACAAAGUCCAAUUCUUUGUGUGCAAAAGAGUGGGAGAGGUCAGGUUUUGAGUGUAAUUGUGGAAGCCUAGAGGUUUCUUAGCAUGACUAUGCGCACCUUUCAAAGCACAUCAUGUUCCACGGCUAUUGCUUAUAUUUCCUUUCUGUUUUUG